GAUUCACUUGAUCAAACUCAUUGUUCUUGAACCUGAUGACAGCUUUCAUUUCUGCCAAGGGAAUCUGAGGUC
ensembl:snoRNA SNORD108 small nucleolar RNA, C/D box 108